rnacentral:rRNA from 1 species
UACGUAGGGGGCGAGCGUUGUCCGGAGUUACUGGGCGUAAAGGGCAUGCAGGCGGUCGGACGCGUUUUGUGUGACAGCGGGUGGCUUAACUACCCGAGCAUGCGAAAGACGGUUGGACUUGAGGGCUCGAGAGGGACACGGAAUUCCGGGUGGAGUGGUGAAAUGCGUAGAGAUCAGGAAGAACACCCGUGGCGAAGGCGGCCCACUGGGCCGGUACUGACGCUGAUGCGCGAAAGCGUGGGUAGCAAACAGG